UACGGAGGAUCCAAGCGUUAUCCGGAAUCAUUGGGUUUAAAGGGUCCGUAGGCGGUUUAAUAAGUCAGUGGUGAAAGCCCAUCGCUCAACGGUGGAACGGCCAUUGAUACUGUUAAACUUGAAUUAUUAGGAAGUAACUAGAAUAUGUAGUGUAGCGGUGAAAUGCUUAGAGAUUACAUGGAAUACCAAUUGCGAAGGCAGGUUACUACUAAUGGAUUGACGCUGAUGGACGAAAGCGUGGGUAGCGAACAG
rnacentral:rRNA from 1 species